rnacentral:rRNA from 1 species
GAUGAACGCUGGCGGCGUGCCUAAUACAUGCAAGUCGAGCGAACUGAUUAGAAGCUUGCUUCUAUGACGUUAGCGGCGGACGGGUGAGUAACACGUGGGCAACCUGCCUGUAAGACUGGGAUAACUUCGGGAAACCGAAGCUAAUACCGGAUAGGAUCUUCUCCUUCAUGGGAGAUGAUUGAAAGAUGGUUUCGGCUAUCACUUACAGAUGGGCCCGCGGUGCAUUAGCUAGUUGGUGAGGUAACGGCGCACCAAGGCAAGGAGGCAUAGCCGACCUGAGAGGGUGAUCGUCCCCACUGGGACUGAGACACGGCCCAGACUCCUACGGGAGGCAGCAGUAGGGAAUCUUCCGCAAUGGACGAAAGUCUGACGGAGCAACGCCGCGUGAGUGAUGAAGGCUUUCGGGUCGUAAAACUCUGUUGUUAGGGAAGAACAAGUACGAGAGUAACUGCUCGUACCUUGACGGUACCUAACCAGAAAGCCACGGCUAACUACGUGCCAGCAGCCGCCGUAA